UACGUAGGGUCCGAGCGUUGUCCGGAAUUACUGGGCGUAAAGGGCGCGUAGGCGGACAGUUUAGUCAGAGGUGAAAGCCCGGGGCUCAACUCCGGAAUUGCCUUUAAGACUGCAUCGCUAGAAUUGUGGAGAGGUAAGUGGAAUUCCGAGUGUAGAGGUGAAAUUCGUAGAUAUUCGGAAGAACACCGGUGGCGAAGGCGGCUCUCUGGACCGAUACUGACGCUGAGGCGCGAAAGCGUGGG
rnacentral:rRNA from 1 species